rnacentral:rRNA from 1 species
ACGCUCGACACCUACGGGGGGCAGCAGUUGGGAAUAUUGGACAAUGGAGGAAACUCUGAUCCAGUGACGCCGCGUGAAGGAAGAAGGUCUUCGGAUUGUAAACUUAUUUUGUCAGGGAAGAAAAAUGACUGUACCUGAAGAAAAAGCACCGGCUAACUACGUGUCAGCAGCCGCGGUAAUCUGAGCGGGCUGGCAAGGC